rnacentral:rRNA from 1 species
UACAGAGGGUGCGAGCGUUAAUCGGAAUUACUGGGCGUAAAGCGUGCGUAGACGGUAGCGUAAGUCAGAUGUGAAAGCCCCCGGGCUCAACCUGGGAACUGCAUUUGAGACUGCUCUGCUCGGGUGCGGAAGAGGGAAGCGGAAUUUCCGGUGUAGCGGUGAAAUGCGUAGAUAUCGGAAGGAACACCAGUGGCGAAAGCGGCUCCCUGGUCCGACACCGACGUUCAGGCACGAAAGCGUGGGGAGCAAACAGG